AACGCACGAGACCUGCGGACCUGCGGAGGGAUCAUUACUGAGGAGGGUCCAUGGCCCGAUCUCCAACCCUUUGAUAAAAACACCAUGUUGCUUUGGCAGGCCCGCCCGUUGGGGCCGCGGGGGAUCGCCGGUCCCUAGCCCGUGCCUGCCGGUAGCCUUCACAAAACUCUCAAAAUGUUGUCGUCUGAGAUGAUUAGAAUAAUAAAACUUUUAACAAUGGAUCUCUAGAUCGGAAGAGCA
rnacentral:misc_RNA from 1 species